rnacentral:pre_miRNA from 1 species
CAAGGGUGUCGUGUGUAUUAGCUUGUCAGAGUGGUUGUGAUGUGCGUCAUGUUGUACUCGUAUCACAGCCAGCUUUGAUGAGCGCUACGCUCGACUUGUUG